CCACCAGGUGGAUGUGGAGGAACCAUGCAGAGAAGAGCAGCAGGAUCUCGCCACUAGGGUGACACGCAAAUUUGUGACAUGCUCCAUAUUUUC
ensembl:snRNA U6 U6 spliceosomal RNA